AUUGAACGCUGGCGGAAUGCUUUACACAUGCAAGUCGAACGGCAGCACGGACUUCGGUCUGGUGGCGAGUGGCGAACGGGUGAGUAAUACAUCGGAACGUGCCCAGUCGUGGGGGAUAACGUAGCGAAAGCUACGCUAAUACCGCAUACGAUCUAAGGAUGAAAGCGGGGGAUCGCAAGACCUCGCGCGAUUGGAGCGGCCGAUGGCAGAUUAGGUAGUUGGUAGGGUAAAGGCCUACCAAGCCGACGAUCUGCAGCUGGUCUGAGAGGAUGAGCAGCCACACUGGGACUGAGACACGGCCCAGACUCCUACGGGAGGCGGCAGUGGGGAAUUUUGGACAAUGGACGCAAGUCUGAUCCAGCCAUUCCGCGUGCAGGAUGAAGGCCCUCGGGUUGUAAACUGCUUUUGUACAGAACGAAAAGGCUCUGGUUAAUACCUGGGGCUCAUGACGGUACUGUAAGAAUAAGCACCGGCUAACUACGUGCCAGCCGCCGCGGUAA
rnacentral:rRNA from 1 species